CCUACGGGAGGCAGCAGUGAGGAAUAUUGGUCAAUGGCCGUAAGGCUGAACCAGCCAAGUAGCGUGAGGGAAGACUGCCCUAUGGGUUGUAAACCUCUUUUAUGCGGGGACAAAGGUGUCCACGUGUGGAUGUUUGCAGGUACCGCAUGAAUUAGGCCCGGCUAAUUCCGGGCCAGCAGCCGCGGUAAUACGGAAGGGACGGGCGUUAUCCGGAUUUAUUGGGUUUAAAGGGAGCGUAGGCCGGUCUUUAAGCGUGCCGUGAAAUUUUGUGGCUCAACCAUGGGGGUGCGGCGGAAACUGGGGACCUUGAGUGGGCGAGAGGCAGGCGGAAUGCGUGGUGUAGCGGUGAAAUGCUUAGAUAUCACGAAGAACCCCGAUUGCGAAGGCAGCAUGCCGCAGCCUUACUGACGCUGAGGCUCGAAAGCGCGGGUAUCGAACAGGAUUAGAUACCCCGGUAGUC
rnacentral:rRNA from 1 species